AUCACAAGUUCUAGGCCAGCCUCUGCAGUGUAGCAAGAUCCUGUUUCAAAAUAAAAAAUAAUGGGGCUGGGGUUGUGGCUCAGCAGUAGAGCGCUCAUCUAGCACGUGCAAGGCCGUGGGUUCGAUCCUCAGCACCACAUAAAAAUAAAUAAAUAAAAUAAAGGUAUUGUGUCCAACUAUAACUAAAAAAUAAAAUAUUAAAAAAAAAUAAAAAGGGAUAGGGAGAGGGGUGUAGCUAAGUAAUAGAGCACUUGCCUAGCACCAGAAAAGCCAUGGGUUCAUACCUAGUACCCCCACACACAACAAAAGGAGGCAGAGGAGGAGGAGUAAGAGGAAAAAAGAAAGGGCUAAGAACUCUUUCAGAAGGAAUUCUCAGCCCCUAAACAUGUUUAAAUCCCUCCUACUAUAAACAAACAAACAAAAAAGACCCUAAAAACAAAAUAAUGAAGUCAGUCAUCACUUACUGUGGCUACUUCCUCCCUGCUGGACAUCAGGAUGUAGCUGAAACGUGGCCAGGAACCAGGCCAGUUUCAGGAAGUCUCUGUGUGAGACUGGCUCUGUUAUUCCCUAACUGUGUGACUUUUGCCAAGACAUUUCAUCUCUCUGAGCCUCAGUUUCCUCAUUUUUUUUCAUAUGUAAUGGAGUAUAAUUUCUCAUUCUUCUGGUUGGACAUUAUGUAGAAUCACACUGGUCAUAUAGUUACAUGUACAUGGGGUAAUAAUGUCUGAUUCAUUCUACUAUCCUUCGUACCCCCAUACCCCCUCCCCUCCCUUCACCCCCCUCUACCUAAUCUAAAGUAACUCUGUUCUUCCCUAUCAUCCCCCCAUUGUGAAUUAGCAUCUGAAUAUCAGAGAAAACAUUUGGCUUUUCGUUUUGGGGGGUUGGUUUAUUUUGCUUACCAUGAUAUUCUCUAGCUCCAUCCAUUUACCAGCAAAUGCCAUAAUUUCAUCCUUCUUUAAGGCUGAGUAAUAUUCUACUGUAUAAAUAUAUCACUUUUUUAUCGUCUGUUGAAGGUUGGUUCAUUGAGCUGCUAUAAACUUUGAUGUGGCUACAUCACUGUAAUAUGCUGAUUUUAAG
rnacentral:lncRNA from 1 species